rnacentral:tRNA from 1 species
CCCAAUGUGGCAUAGUGGUUUGAGUGCUGGACUAGGACUCUGGAGAUCAGGGUUCGAAUCCCCACUCAGC